rnacentral:rRNA from 1 species
UACGUAGGGUGCAAGCGUUAAUCGGAAUUACUGGGCGUAAAGCGUGCGCAGGCGGUCGUGCAAGACAGAUGUGAAAUCCCCGGGCUUAACCUGGGAACUGCAUUUGUGACUGCACGGCUGGAGUGCGGCAGAGGGGGAUGGAAUUCCGCGUGUAGCAGUGAAAUGCGUAGAUAUGCGGAGGAACACCGAUGGCGAAGGCAAUCCCCUGGGCCUGCACUGACGCUCAUGUGCGAAAGCGUGGGGAGCAAACAGG